UUAGGAAGGUGACCAUUUUCCCUGGGUCUGUCUGUAGAUGCACAUCAGUGCCAGCAAAGUCCAGUGGGGGAGGGUAAGAGAGAGAGAUUGAUUUUAGAAGCCAAUUCUAAAAUGUAUGGAAAAGUACAGAAAGGCUGGGAGCAGCCUAGACCCUCCUGAGGAGCAGGUGGACGGUGCAACAGCGGAUGGCGAAUGCGACGUGUUAUGGGGCCGCAGUUGCUCAGAGCACGAGGAGCUGCUGGCGGGGGGCUUGGCCACUGACCCACGAGGUAGGACACGGCCUGGGCACGGAGGGGGGCCUGUGCUCGUGCCCACGCACGCUGGAUGUGUGAUGAAGGGAGUGGCGUUGCAGGUUAUUGAGGGAAGGUUGGACUCUUGUUCUCGUGCCGGGAAAGUCAGGUGCCCACGUGGGAAAAAGGAAAGUAGACUCCCACGGCAUUCAGAUCCCCCCAGGUGGAUGCCCGGAGGGCAGCGCUUUUGACCCAGAGCCCCGGCCUGAUGACCUCACAGACAAGGCCCCCAAGAGCCUUUGCUGCAGCGGAAGUGGGUAACGUCAGCACACAUGACUUUGUUUCUCAGAAGAUGCGGGAGAGGGUGAAGGUGCGGUCAUUCAUAAAACUCACAGGAACUCAAAACCAGAAUAUGAAGGACUCUGAAUCAGCAAGAAAAAGAGGACUCCAAAGAAAAAUGGGUGGCACAGCUGAACAGGCGCCUCCCCACACACGGGGCAACACUCGAGAACACCACCGUGGGAUGCCGCUGUGCGCCCAUCAGGACAGCCCGGUUAGAACGACCGACAGCAUUGCGUGUCUGAGGACGUGGGGGCCGACAUGCCCGUGUGCUUCUGGGGGAGGGCACUACAGGAAGGCCCUGCACACGCUCUGGCGAAGGGUGCCCCUGCCUGCAGAGUUCUGGAAAACAGCCCAGGUGUCUGUCAGUGGGCAGAUAAAUACGUGGCAGCGUGGCCACGCCAGGAACGUGACACAGCCACAAACAUGCACGGACAAGGGUCACACGUGUAGUGAGGACGGAGUUUAGAACCGAGAUGGCAGGAAAGCAGCAAAUCAGAAGAACACACCAAGAAUAUUCCUUUUACAGACAGUUCGUGAACAGGCGAAGCUGCAGACUAUAGUAUCUAGGAGGCAUAUAAAGAGGUAAAAGAAAGCGGAGAUCCAGCAACCCCCCUUUUGGGUCAAUCUCCAGAGAAUUGGAAGCAGGAACAUGAAGAAAUACUGGCACACCCGUGUUCACAGGGGCCAAAGGGUGGAGGCCACCUGCGUGUCCGUCGACAGAUGGACAGAGAAGCGAAAUGUGUCCAUCCAUCCAGAGGAAAAUGAUUCAGCCUUAAAGAGGAAGGGGAGCCUGUUGCCCUUGACAGCACGGAUGAACCUCGAGGACGUUAUGCUAAAUGAAAUGAGUGUCACAAAAGGACAAGUACCAAUGGAAUGCGUAUUCCACUGGACUGGAAUUCCAAUGGUAAGAGACACCAGAGUCAUCAAAUUCACAGAGAAGAUAGACAGGCAUCUCCCGGGCUUGAGGGGAGGGGAUGGGGAGUCGGUGUUGAAUGGGGACAGAGCUGUAGUUUGGGAAGUUGGAAAAGUUCUGGAGAUGGAUGGUGGUGACAGCUGCACAGCCACGGGAAUGUUGUUGAUGCUCCUGAACCGGGUGCUUAAGAGUGGCAAGAAUGGUCAGUUAUGAGUGGUCAUAUAUGUUAUGUUACGUAUAUUUUAUCACAAUUAAAAAACUGAGGAAAAAAAUAAAGUCGGGAACAAUGAUAGGAAAGACAAGGAUGGUGUUCCUCUCUAGAGGGAGGGACGCAGAGGGCCCCUAGAGGGCUGAUAACAUUUGGCCUCUGAUUCAUAGUCACUUAGACACACGCACUUAUGCGCUUUCUCCUGUGAUAUGAUAUUCCAUGAUAAAAAUGGUAAAAAAAUUAAAACAAGCCAACAGGCACCCACCUCUGCCCG
rnacentral:lncRNA from 1 species